rnacentral:tmRNA from 1 species
GGUGAGUGAGCGUCAUUUUGCGGGAUAGGCCAAAGGCUUCGGUCCGGAGCCGGCGGUCGAGAUUCAAUCGGGCUAGGCCGCCGCCAUUUUGCAGGUUCUGGGGCGGACGGCCGAAAAUUCAGAGCCGGCUACGGCACGUAGUCUCUUCAUGGCGAGCUUUCUCGGACGGGGGUUCAAUUCCCCCCGCCUCCACCA